UACGUAGGGUGCGAGCGUUGUCCGGAAUUAUUGGGCGUAAAGAGCUUGUAGGCGGUUUGUCGCGUCUGCUGUGAAAAUCCGGGGCUCAACCCCGGACUUGCAGUGGGUACGGGCAGACUAGAGUGUGGUAGGGGAGACUGGAAUUCCUGGUGUAGCGGUGAAAUGCGCAGAUAUCAGGAGGAACACCGAUGGCGAAGGCAGGUCUCUGGGCAACAACUGACGCUGAGGAACGAAAGCCAGGGGAGCGAACGGG
rnacentral:rRNA from 1 species